ACAAGCAGAGGGGGCUUAGUGGUGGGGUGACUGCGUACCUUUUGUAUAAUGGGUCAGCGACUUAUAUUCUGUAGCAAGGUUAACCGAAUAGGGGAGCCGGAGGGAAACCGAGUCUUAAUU
rnacentral:rRNA from 1 species